ACCGUUCGUCUGGUGCCGCACCAUACAAGGUUUCAAAGGUGGCUUUCACAGCCUUUGAAAUCUCCGAAAAACCCGCCUUUUGGCGGGUUUUUUCGU
rnacentral:misc_RNA from 1 species